UAUCAGAAGUGCGAAUGCUGACAUAAGUAACGAUAAAGCGGGUGAAAAGCCCGCUCGCCGGAAGACCAAGGGUUCCUGUCCAACGUUAAUCGGGGCAGGGUGAGUCGACCCCUAAGGCGAGGCCGAAAGGCGUAGUCGAUGGGAAACAGGUUAAUAUUCCUGUACUUGGUGUUACUGCGAAGGGGGGACGGAGAAGGCUAUGUUGGCCGGGCGACGGUUGUCCCGGUUUAAGCGUGUAGGCUGGUUUUCCAGGCAAAUCCGGAAAAUCAAGGCUGAGGCGUGAUGACGAGGCACUACGGUGCUGAAGCAACAAAUGCCCUGCUUCCAGGAAAAGCCUCUAAGCAUCAGGUAACAUCAAAUCGUACCCCAAACCGACACAGGUGGUCAGGUAGAGAAUACCAAGGCGCUUGAGAGAACUCGGGUGAAGGAACUAGGCAAAAUGGUGCCGUAACUUCGGGAGAAGGCACGCUGAUAUGUAGGUGAAGUCCCUCGCGGAUGGAGCUGAAAUCAGUCGAAGAUACCAGCUGGCUGCAACUGUUUAUUAAAAACACAGCACUGUGCAAACACGAAAGUGGACGUAUACGGUGUGACGCCUGCCCGGUGCCGGAAGGUUAAUUGAUGGGGUCAGCGCAAGCGAAGCUCUUGAUCGAAGCCCCGGUAAACGGCGGCCGUAACUAUAACGGUCCUAAGGUAGCGAAAUUCCUUGUCGGGUAAGUUCCGACCUGCACGAAUGGCGUAAUGAUGGCCAGGCUGUCUCCACCCGAGACUCAGUGAAAUUGAACUCGCUGUGAAGAUGCAGUGUACCCGCGGCAAGACGGAAAGACCCCGUGAACCUUUACUAUAGCUUGACACUGAACAUUGAGCCUUGAUGUGUAGGAUAGGUGGGAGGCUUUGAAGUGUGGACGCCAGUCUGCAUGGAGCCGACCUUGAAAUACCACCCUUUAAUGUUUGAUGUUCUAACGUUGACCCGUAAUCCGGGUUGCGGACAGUGUCUGGUGGGUAGUUUGACUGGGGCGGUCUCCUCCUAAAGAGUAACGGAGGAGCACGAAGGUUGGCUAAUCCUGGUCGGACAUCAGGAGGUUAGUGCAAUGGCAUAAGCCAGCUUGACUGCGAGCGUGACGGCGCGAGCAGGUGCGAAAGCAGGUCAUAGUGAUCCGGUGGUUCUGAAUGGAAGGGCCAUCGCUCAACGGAUAAAAGGUACUCCGGGGAUAACAGGCUGAUACCGCCCAAGAGUUCAUAUCGACGGCGGUGUUUGGCACCUCGAUGUCGGCUCAUCACAUCCUGGGGCUGAAGUAGGUCCCAAGGGUAUGGCUGUUCGCCAUUUAAAGUGGUACGCGAGCUGGGUUUAGAACGUCGUGAGACAGUUCGGUCCCUAUCUGCCGUGGGCGCUGGAGAAUUGAGGGG
rnacentral:rRNA from 1 species